UGCAGUCGAACGAGAAAGCGUUCUUCGGAACGUGAGUACAGUGGCGGACGGGUGAGUAACACGUGGGGAACCUGCCCUCAAGCUGGGAACAACCCGCCUAACGGCGGGCUAAUACCGAAUGUGGUUGUCAGUCCGCAUGGUAUGACAACUAAAGGUGGCCUCUCCUUGGAAGCUACCGCUUGUGGAUGGCCCCGCGCUCAAUUAGCUAGUUGGUAGGGUAACGGCCUACCAAGGCGACGAUUGAUAGCCGACCUGAGAGGGUGAUCGGCCACACUGGGAUUGAGAUAAGGCCCAGUCUCCUACGGGAGCCAGCAGUCUAGAAAUUUGGGCAAUGGGCGAAAGCCUGACCCAGCGACGCCGCGUGGGGGAUGAAGCUUCUCGGAGUGUAAACCCCUGUUAGGUGGGACGAAAGCCCGUAUACGAAUAGUAGGCGGGUUUGACGGUACCACCAGAGGAAGCUCCGGCUAACUCCGUGCCAGCAGCCGCGGUAAUACGGGGGGAGCAAGCGUUGUUCGGAGUUAUUGGGCGUAAAGGGCGUACAGGCGGUGGUGUCAGUCAGAUGUGAAAUCCCCCGGCUCAACCGGGGACCUGCAUUUGAUACUGCAUCACUUGAGUACAGGAGAGGAGAGCGGAAUUUUCGGUGUAGCGGUGGAAUGUGUAGAUAUCGAAAAGAACACCAGUGGCGAAGGCGGCUCUCUGGCCUGAUACUGACGCUGACGCGCGAAAGCUAGGGGAGCAAACAGGAUUAGAUACCCUGGUAGUCCUAGCCGUAAACGUUGGGCACUAGGUGUUGGAGGUAUCGACCCCUUCAGUGCCGAAGCUAACGCAUUAAGUGCCCCGCCUGGGGAGUACGGCCGCAAGGCUGAAACUCAAGGAAUUGACGGGGGCCUGCACAAGCGGUGGAGCAUGUGGUUUAAUUCGAGGCAACGCG
rnacentral:rRNA from 1 species